rnacentral:rRNA from 1 species
CAACCGGGAUUGCCUUAGUAACGGCGAGUGAAGCGGCAAAAGCUCAAAUUUGAAAUCUGGCGUCUUCGACGUCCGAGUUGUAAUUUGAAGAAGGCGACUUUGUAGCUGGUCCUUGUCUAUGUUCCUUGGAACAGGACGUCAUAGAGGGUGAGAAUCCCGUGUGGCGAGGAUCCCAGUUAUUUGUAAAGUGCUUUCGACGAGUCGAGUUGUUUGGGAAUGCAGCUCUAAGUGGGUGGUAAAUUCCAUCUAAAGCUAAAUAUUGGCGAGAGACCGAUAGCGAACAAGUACAGUGAUGGAAAGAUGAAAAGAACUUUGAAAAGAGAGUGAAAAAGUACGUGAAAUUGUUGAAAGGGAAGGGCAUUUGAUCAGACAUGGCGUUUGCUUCGGCUUUCGCUGGGCCAGCAUCAGUUUUAGCGGUUGGAUAAAUCCUCGGGAAUGUGGCUCUGCUUCGGUAGAGUGUUAUAGCCCGUGGGAAUACAGCCAGCUGGGACUGAGGAUUGCGACUUUUGUCAAGGAUGCUGGCGUAAUGGUUAAAUGCCGCCCGUCUUGAAACACGGACCUCCUGUGUGAAGUG